CUGCGCGUGCUUACCUGCAAGUCGAACGGUGAUGGGGAGCUUGCUUCCUUGAUCAGUGGCGAACGGGUGAGUAACACGUGAGCAACCUACCCUUGACUCUGGGGUAACAGUUGGAAACAGCUGCUAAUACCGGAUAUGACCUCUGCACGCAUGUGUGGGGGUGGAAAGCUCCGACGGUCAGGGAUGGGCUCGCGGCCUAUCAGCUUGUUGGUGAGGUAAUGGCUCGCCAAGGCGACGACGGGUAGCCGGCCUGAGAGGGCGACCGGCCACACUGGGACUGAGAUACGGCCCAGACUCCUACGGGAGGCAGCAGUGGGGAAUAUUGCGCAAUGGGCGAAAGCCUGACGCAGCAACGCCGCGUGCGGGAUGACGGCCUUCGGGUUGUAAACCGCUUUCAGCAGGGACGAAGGGUUACCUUGACUAUACCUGCAGAAGAAGCACCGGCUAACUACGUGCCAGCAGCCGCGGUGAUACGUAGGGUGCGAGCGUUGUCCGGAAUUAUUGGGCGUAAAGAGCUUGUAGGCGGUUUGUUGCGUCGGAAGUGAAAACUCAGGGCUUAACCCUGAGCCUGCUUUCGAUACGGGCAGACUUGAGGGAUGUAGGGGAGAACGGAAUUCCUGGUGGAGCGGUGGAAUGCGCAGAUAUCAGGAGGAACACCAGUGGCGAAGGCGGUUCUCUGGACAUUUCCUGACGCUGAGAAGCGAAAGCGUGGGGAGCAAACAGCUUAGAUACCCUGGUAGUCCACGCCGUAACGGUGGGCACUAGUGUGGGACCCAUUCCACGGGUUCCGUGCCGGAGCUAACGCAUUAAGUGCCCCGCCCUGGGGAGUACGGCCGCAAGGCU
rnacentral:rRNA from 1 species